GGGGGUCGCGGUCGGCCCACAGGCUGGGCACUAACGGGUCCCGGGGCGCCGGGGCGGACUGCGGCGGUGAGCGCGGCUGCAGGCCGCGGUCGUAGUGGACUAAUUUUACAGGCGAAGUUAAGUGACUUACCCAAAACCUCACAGCUAAUAAACGGCAGAGCCGGCACCCAGCUGUACUGGCUUCCAGCGCAUCCCAUUAUCUCCAUAAAUCCCCCUGAUUCAACUAAUAUUAGACGCCCCACAGGUAAGAUGCUUCAGAGUUAGAGGGGAGUUGAAGAUACCUUUGCCUUCAAAGAAGUAAGGAAUGAAACAAAGAUAAAACAGACAAUAAAAGACAAACCAUGAUAGGUGCCACGUGAAAAGUGGCAGAGUACUGCCGGGAAUCAAAGAACCGUGUAUAUCUGUCUUGGGGAUAAGGAAAGAAACGCAGCAUGAAGGAGUAGGCAUUUGGGAUUGACCUUGAAGGAGACAGGGAGAGUUUUACAGCAAGAAGGGAUAGCAUGAGAAUAUAUAUGAAGGCGAAUCAGUGAAAGUUGUGUUGGGGAAAGAGCAAAGACUCCAGGUAUGUUGAGAGGUAGAAAAGACAAAGGAGUAUGGGGCCUAAGAUACCAAAUGGAUGAAUUUAUAUUUAAUUCAGUAUUUUGAGUUUUUAUGGUUCAGAAGUUUGGGGGAAGAAAAGGAAGGUUUUUUUUUUCUUUAUGCUAGUGAUUUAUCUGUGAAGGGAAGCAGAAAUCAGAGGUGGAAAAACUGACAGAUCUACUGUAGGCCAGGUAAAAGGUAAUGAUGAGUCUGACCUAAAGGGACAGCCAGGGGAAUUUAAAGAGCAUAGUUGAGAGAUGAUGUGCAUGCAGAAUCUAUAGAAUUUGCUAACUGAUUGAUUAAUUGUGGGUAGGAAGAGAGAAAUCAAAGAAAGUGGAGGUUUUGAGUUUCUAGAUAAUUGCAAGAGAGAAAAGAGACAAUUACAAAGGAAAGGAGAAGGAGCUACUUCUUGAGAGAAGAUCAGUUUAGAUUUAGACAUUUUAAGAAUUCAAAGGGUUGUCAAGACAGCCAGACGGACAUGGACACUAAUAAGUUAGAAAUAAAGGUUUUGUAAUAUGGGAAAGAGGACUGAGCUAGAAAAUAGACUCAUAGAUAAUCAGCCUAGGAGUGAUAUUGCUGUGAGAUAAAAGAAGAAAACAAAGUCAGAAUCUUGGAAAACACCCUCUUCAGAGUCUCGCUGCUCAAAACGUGGUCAGUGGCCCAGCAGCACUGACAUGAGGACCUUAGUUGGAAACUCAGAAUCUCAGGCUCCACCCCAGACCUGCUGAACCAGCAUCUUCAACUUAACAAGAACCCGAAGAGAUUUGUGCCACAUCAAAAAGUUUGAGAAGCUCUGAUCUAGCUGGACCCUGGACACGGUGACUCUGAUUCAAUUAUGCAGAUGACCACAAGCCUCUGGGGUUGGCAGAGCCACAAGAAAGAAGGUGCCUGGAUGAAGGAGAGCUACCCACUGACCUGGACACCCAAUUAUAGGAUAGACAGUGAAGUGCAACUACAGCCCGCAAAUGAAAAUGAAUAAAAUUAAUCCAGCCCCUCAAGGCAGUCAUCUGUCUUAGAGCUAUUGGAAUCCUGGAUCAUUGUGGGAAAUGAAAAGAACUGGUUUUUAGCAAGGAGACCAAGAAACUCUACUCCCUAGGGGCUAGCAAUGAGAGAAAGGAAGCCUUGAGUCUUUGAGCACAGGGUGACAGUUUGGGUCCUAUGUGAGAUGAUCAAAUCCACAGCAACAGAGGAAAGGACAAAAGGAAAAGAUACUUCGAUGGAAUCAGCAGCCAUUGAUCCAAUGCCAACUCCAAGACUGGAACGUCGCAAUGAUAGUUCCAAGGCGGAAAUUUGACGUAAUUCUUUUCGACACAGUUUUACAGGCAUCUUGCAUGUGAAUAACUCACAACUUUAAUUCAUGGAACAAAUUGAGAAAUAGUCUUUUGGGGGUUUGGUACUCCCUGGAAACAUAAGAGUGCUUUGGGCACCUCUGGUGCCUUUCCAUGCCUGCCUUCUCUGCUGUUCUUGCUACUAGUGAAUUCUAAAUCAUGGCCAAGUGAUGCCAGCACUGGAUAAUAUUGGCUCUGCCCCAUAUCUCGAGGGAAAACUCUGGGACUUGGCAUUAUAUGUGUGGGAAUCUGGCCUUGGUUGGCACUCCCAGCAUGAUAGCAGGGUUCUGCUGUCUGAAUGUACUCUGGGGUGUGCGCCACAAUUUCUGUCAUCGAAAUGGAGAUGAGAGAAUAUGCCCUUGGUGGGGACACCCCACUGGAAUUAGAGUGAAGAGAUCAAAGCUAGAGGUUCUUAAAUCAAAGAAUGUCUAAUAGCAAAGACAAAAACUUGCUUAAGAGAAAUGCAUACAGGUACUAGACCUAAUAUGAUGAAAAAUGCUAACUUCAACAUAUUGAUGCAUGCUUAGUAUACUUUUAGUCCUGCAAAGACAAAAGUUUUUUGUUUGUUUUUUUUUGAGACGGAGUCUCGCUCUGUCGCCCAGGUUGGAGUGCAGUGGUGUGAUCUCGGCUUACUGCAAGCUCUGCCUCCUGGGUUCACACCAUUCUCCUGCCUCAGCCUCCGGAGUAGCUGGGACUACAGGCGCCCGCCACCACGCCCGGCUAAUUUUUUGUAUUUUUAGUAGAGAUGGGGUUUCACCGUGUUAGCCAGGAUGGUCUCGAUCUCCUGACCUCAGGUGAUCCGCCUGCCUUGGCCUCCCAAAGUGCUGGGAUUACAGGCAUGAGCCACCGCACCUGGCCCAGUCCUGCCAAGACAAAGUUUUAAAACACAGGUUGCACAUUGGCAGCUCUCAAGCCAAAUCUGGCCCAUAGACAUGGUUUGCUUGGCCUAUAAUGUUAGUAAUACUUGACCCAAGAUUUAAAAUUUGAAAAGUUUCAUAUAAAAAUAUAGAUUUACAGCUUUUCUAGAAAAACUAUAAGAGUUAACAGUUUCUGAAUUGCAACAGCAGCUGGAACACCGUUGCCACUGACCAUUUAGAUGACUGCUGCAGUCCCCACGGCUCACUCUGGUUCAGGUAGGGGUUCUAGUUUGUAACCCCUGGUUUAAAACAUAACUGACUCUCUAGUUUUUAAAAUUCUCUCAAAAUCAAAUAACCUGAACUAGCAAAUGAUCUAGAUCCUCGUACAUGGAACUCAUACUAAGUUGACCACAGACAGUGGCUCCCAAACUCUGCAGUACAUCAGAGUCACUGGGAAGCUUUAAAAAAUCCUGCUCCCUAGCUGGGUGCAGUGGUUUAUGCCUGUAGCCCCAGCUACUUGAGAGGCUGAGGUGGGAGGAUUGCUCAAGCCCAGGAGUUUGAGGCUGCAGUGAGCCAUGAAUGUACCACUACACUCCAGCCUGGGCAACAGAGCAAGACCCCAACUCUAAAAAAAAAUCCUGCUCCCCAGGUGACAGUAUCUGGGGGAAGGAGUAAGGCAUCUUAUUUUCAAAAGAUCAUAAGAAAAGAGGCUCAUUGCUGAGGCUCACUCCGGAGCCCACUUGGAUUCUUCACAAGAAAGUUUCCCUCUUCCAGAAUUUUAUAAUUGAGGGAACCGACUAGGGAAAGAUUAAUUUGCCCAAGGUCAAACAACUAGUAAAAGAAGUAAGGAUUCCAACCCAGAUCUUUUGACUCUAUUAUCCUUACAUAUAGUUUUAUAGUGAUUUAAAUUGAUACAAGGAUAGGUUUAAAUACAAGUAGAAUGCAGGUUCAUAUAAAACUGAUUUUAUCCUCAUGUUAGAAAACAUAUACACUGUAACAGAGGGAUGACCAUCAAGUGACCAAGAUAUUUUAGUCAAAAGAUGAAUUUUUCUGCAAUUGGAGAAUGCCAAAAAUAUUCAAAGAAAAUAUAAGUCUUGUAGGCAGUCUUCUAUCAAAACCCACUGAACCGCUGGGCACGGUGGCUCAUGCCUGUAAUUCCAGCACUUUGGGAGGCCAAGGCUGGUGGAUCACCUGAGGUCAGGAGUUUGAGACCAGCCUGGCCGACAUGGUCUCUACUAAAAAUACAAAAAAUUAGCUGGGCCUGGUGGCGGCACCUGUAAUCCCAGCUACUGAGGAGGCUGAGGCAGGAGAAUUGUUUGAACCUUGGAGGUAGAGGCUGCAGUGAGCUGAGAUAGCACCACUGCACUCCAGCCUGGGUAACAAGAGUGAAACUCCAUUCAAAAACAAAAAACAAACAAAAAAAAAACAAUGCACCAAAUACUAAGUUAUUAACUAGGAUACUGAUUAUUAAGCAUGUAAAACAUUUUAUGGAACUCAGAGUUUGAUGUAAAUUGCUAUAUUUUAUAAUUCAAACAAACCUUGUUUCAUGUCAUUAUAUUAGAGUAGCAUUAUGAGACAGGAUAUAGUGUAAGCUAUAUCCCCAAUAUAAUUGCAACUGUAUAUUUUAAAGCAUGGGGAAAAUAUGAAAAGAAUUAUGCUCAAAUGUGGGUAGGAUUAUAACUGAUUUGUUUUCUUCAUUUUCAGAUUUUUCUAUAAUGACUAUACAUUAUUUUUAUAGUCAAAAAUAGAAGUAUUUUAAAUGUUUCUAGGUAGAAUAGCAAAUUAGCUGAAAUAGUAUCUCCAACGUUAUUAUCAAGACUAGACUCCUUGGGUAAAUUGGUCAGAACAGUGUUGUUCUCAUUUUACACCUCUCCAAGAUUAACUAUGUUUUAGAUUUGUGUGUGUGUUUGGUUAAAGAGCCAGGAUGAAGAUCCAGAGUUCUUAAACCUGUAUACCACCAUACUACAUUGUCAUUUUAAAGAAAUGUCUAGUAGACUCGGUGGCAUAAACAUGGGCCAUUUACAAACUAGAUGUCUAAUAUCAGAUACCUCAAAUUUGACAGUAGACUUUUUUUCAAAGCUAAAGUGGUCUUAUGUUGACUAUUUUGUUUCUUACUUGAUACUUGUUUACUUUUUAAUUUUUGGCAAGUAAUGUUUCAAGUUAAAGUUUUAGCUAUAUAUAGCAGGCAGUAUUUCAAGUAAAUGAGUUACAUCAGUAAACACCUCUGUAUUACUAAACUGAGAAUCAGAAAAUGUAAUCUCUUUGGCAGGAUUCGUAUGUUUGUAUCACGUCUUUAUCCUCAGGCAACUUUUAUCUUGGAAUACUGAACCAGCAGUCAGAAUAUGAGGGACAUUAGACUGUGUUAUAGUUACUGUUCUGUCCUUAAGUCACUUGCCUUCUCUAAGUGUCAGUUGCCUCAUCUGAAAAUGGAGUUAGCAGACCCCAGCCUAUCCUGAGUUUGAGGGCUAAAGGGAAUUAUUCUUGAAAAUGUCUAUACAUGAUAAAUGUCACAAAUAUAACUUAGCAUUUUUUUUUUGAGACAGAGUUUCGCUCUUGUGGCCCAGGUCGGGGUGCAAUGUCGUGAUCUCAGCUCACUGCAACCUCUGCCUCCCGGGUUCAAGCGAUUCUCCUGCCUCAGCCUCCUGAGUAGCUGGGAUUACAGGCAUGCACCACCACACCUGGCUAAUUUUGUAUUUUUUAAUAGAGACGGGGUUUCACCAUGUUGGUCAGGUUGGUCUCGAACUCCUACCCUCCGGUGAUCCACCCGCCUUGGCCUCCCAAAGUGCUGGGAUUACAGGCAUGAGCCACCGCACCUAGCCAAUUCUACUUCUAUUACAUUUUCAGCAUAUAUCACUUCAUUGCUCCUCCAUAUUAUUUUUCACUGGUCUUCUUACAUCUUGUGUGCCCAUAUUUAAGUAGUUUUCUUUCCAGGUAAAAAAUACAUGUGUGCCUAAAAGAUUUUAAAGUCAACUUUUCAUAAACCAUACCUAAAUUAUCAAAGUUAUUAGAAUUAUUAGAAAGUAUUAGCUAAUUCUUUUAUAAAAUGUAGACUUUAUUAUUUUAGAAAUAUUGAUUCCUCUCUAUUCAGCUAUCUUAAAGAGGGUAUAUUUUAAUCAUCGCAAUAUAUUACCUUCAUAGUAUUUUUUACUUUUGCAAAGUAUAUUUUGUCAUGUUAUUUCAUUUAGGAAUGCACUAAAUCUACAUAUCUACAUAUGAUUAUACAAGGAAACAUCUUUGUCUCAAAAAUGGGUUCUAUUACAUUUUUUAAUUUCCAGGGGUCAUGAUAUAUAAAAAGACCUGAUUUAUCUUAAAAAUACAUACUUUUAUUCUUACCUACCAUACAUCUUUUUUUGUGAUAAUCAGAAGGCUUAAUUUACUAUAAAAUAGGAAAACAACAGCUAUGUUAGAUUAUAUAGUUAAUUUAGGGAUUAAAUGAGUUAAGGUCUACAAGCCCCUGGCACAUGGCAGACAAUCAAUAAUUGAUCAUUUCCUUUGCAUCUAUAAAUUUGUUCAUUCACUUCUCAUGUGGUUCUACCUUAGACAACGAUUUUUGUUUACAGAGACAAAUAGAAGUAUCUAAUCCUAAAUAACCCAAUCAAUUGGUAAAGGCUACACUACAAAGCUGGCAUGACUUCACCAAAUGCUAGAGAAACAGUGUUAAGAGUGACAACACUAAAAGUCUUACACUCUGAUGAUGCUAGUUGCCGCCGAAUUGCUUCCCCUACCAGUUCCUUAAGUUUCUUCUUAUGAUCCCGGCUGGUUUUCUUAUAGAAAUAAAGAUCUUUUUCCAACUGCUGGAUUUUAUCUUCAUAUGUUUUGAAAGUUUCCAUAAUGCCUUCUCCAUCUUGUUCUAUACAACAAAAAUUUGCAUUUAAAAUCAGUUUUAAAUAAAUGAUGCAAAAUUAUGUUUUUGUUUGUUUCUUUGUCUUUUUGAAACGGAGUCUUGCACUGUCGCCCAGGCUAGAGUGCAGUGGCGUGAUAUGCUCGGCUCACUGUAAGCUCCGCCACCCAGGUUCACACCAUUCUCCUGCCUCCGCCUCCCAAGUAGCUGGGACUACAGGUGCCCAGCACCACGCCCGGCUAAUUUUUUUGUAUUUUUAGUAGAGACGAGGUUUCAUCAUGUUAGCCAGGAUGGUCUCGAUCUCCUGACCUCGUGAACUGCC
rnacentral:lncRNA from 1 species